UCGACGUGUGAUAAUUGGACAUCGUACUGUGACUGUGGGGUUUUAAUGGCAUUGCAUACUUAAAAGAUCCGGUCAACAUUAAAUUGCAAUAGUUCUAUAAGAUCAAUUAGCUUACAAGAUAAUACCAAUAUUGAACAAUGCAGAAGAUUAUCUUAAUGUGUCUUUGUGUUUGUAUAGUAACUGUUCGUGGCGGAGAUGAAGAUGACGUAACAGACCUUUGUAACUUGUGUGCUAUAGAUGGAAAUAGUGUGGACUGUUUGAUUUGUCGGAGCGCAUUAGAAAAUGAACCAGACUCAAUCGAAUAUGGAAAUAUAAGCAAACGUGGAUUUCUGCGUCAGACACGUCUGUUUCCAUGCCAAUGUUGUGCAUUCUCACGUCAUCAAAACGCGUAUUGUUGUGAUCAGUGUUACAGGAAAUAGGUAUACAUCAUGUCUACGAGAUGUACAUAUCCAGUCCAUCAUUUAUGAAGUUUUAGGACAUUUUGUUGUUAGCUGUGAUGUGAUUUUAGUUUAUAUGCAGAAAUAUGGUGUUCUUGUUGUACGACAAUAUAAAUUGUUUCAGUUUAAUUUUCAGCCAGCGUACUACAAGAAGUUCACAUGACUGUCUUCAUUUAGAAAUAAGUCGUUGAGGAUAUUUAUUAGAAAAACAAAAUAGAUUUUUGAAUUGCAUUAUAAGGGAAUGUCAAGUAAUAUAUUAGUCAUUAGAAAAAAGAAUUAGGAUAUUUUGUAAUUUAUUUUAUUUGUAUCAUAAUUAUCAUUGACAUUUACGGAUGUAAAAAGCUUUUAGUUUGAGAGACGGAAUAAUUCUUCAUAUCACUCAUUAUUAAUUGUCAUAUUUACCAUCUUCAUGAGUGAACGAGACGUAGACAAAGUGGCCUCAGUGUUAUUAUAAAAAUAAGUAUGAUGCAUUAAAAUAAAUAUUUUUGCUGUUA